rnacentral:rRNA from 1 species
UACAGGGGGUGCAAACGUUGCUCGGAAUCAUUGGGCGUAAAGCGCACGUAGGCGGUUCGUUAUGUCGGAUGUGAAAGCCCUUGGCUUAACCGAGGAAGUGCAUCCGAAACUGGCGAGCUAGAGUACGAAAGAGGAUCGCGGAAUUCCCGGUGUAGAGGUGAAAUUCGUAGAUAUCGGGAAGGAACACCAGUGGCGAAGGCGGCCCACCUAGACCGUCCCUGACGCUCAAACACGAAAGCUAGGGUAGCGAACGGG